rnacentral:tRNA from 1 species
GGAUGUGGCUCAGGCGGUAGCGCGCUCGCCUGGCAUGCGUGCAACCCGGGUUCGAUCCUCAGCACCA